UACACAUGCAAGUCGAACGAUGAAGCCCUUCGGGGUGGAUUAGUGGCGAACGGGUGAGUAACACGUGGGCAAUCUGCCCUUCACUCUGGGACAAGCCCUGGAAACGGGGUCUAAUACCGGAUAACACUCGCCGAGGCAUCUCGGUGGGUUGAAAGCUCCGGCGGUGAAGGAUGAGCCCGCGGCCUAUCAGCUUGUUGGUGAGGUAGAAGCUCACCAAGGCGACGACGGGUAGCCGGCCUGAGAGGGCGACCGGCCACACUGGGACUGAGACACGGCCCAGACUCCUACGGGAGGCAGCAGUGGGGAAUAUUGCACAAUGGGCGAAAGCCUGAUGCAGCGACGCCGCGUGAGGGAUGACGGCCUUCGGGUUGUAAACCUCUUUCAGCAGGGAAGAAGCGAAAGUGACGGUACCUGCAGAAGAAGCGCCGGCUAACUACGUGCCAGCAGCCGCGGUAAUACGUAGGGCGCAAGCGUUGUCCGGAAUUAUUGGGCGUAAAGAGCUCGUAGGCGGUCUGUCACGUCGGAUGUGAAAGCCCGGGGCUUAACCCCGGGUCUGCAUUCGAUACGGGCAGACUAGAGUGUGGUAGGGGAGAUCGGAAUUCCUGGUGUAGCGGUGAAAUGCGCAGAUAUCAGGAGGAACACCGGUGGCGAAGGCGGAUCUCUGGGCCAUUACUGACGCUGAGGAGCGAAAGCGUGGGGAGCGAACAGGAUUAGAUACCCUGGUAGUCCACGCCGUAAACGGUGGGAACUAGGUGUUGGCGACAUUCCACGUCGUCGGUGCCGCAGCUAACGCAUUAAGUUCCCCGCCUGGGGAGUACGGCCGCAAGGCUAAAACUCAAAGGAAUUGACGGGGGCCCGCACAAGCAGCGGAGCAUGUGGCUUAAUUCGACGCAACGCGAAGAACCUUACCAAGGCUUGACAUCGCCCGGAAAGCAUCAGAGAUGGUGCCCCCCUUGUGGUCGGGUGACAGGUGGUGCAUGGCUGUCGUCAGCUCGUGUCGUGAGAUGUUGGGUUAAGUCCCGCAACGAGCGCAACCCUUGUUCUGUGUUGCCAGCAUGCCCUUCGGGGUGAUGGGGACUCACAGGAGACUGCCGGGGUCAACUCGGAGGAAGGUGGGGACGACGUCAAGUCAUCAUGCCCCUUAUGUCUUGGGCUGCACACGUGCUACAAUGGCAGGUACAAUGAGCUGCGAUGUCGCAAGGCGGAGCGAAUCUCAAAAAGCCUGUCUCAGUUCGGAUUGGGGUCUGCAACUCGACCCCAUGAAGUCGGAGUUGCUAGUAAUCGCAGAUCAGCAUUGCUGCGGUGAAUACGUUCCCGGGCCUUGUACACACCGCCCGUCACGUCACGAAAGUCGGUAACACCCGAAGCCGGUGGCCCAACCCCCUUGUGGGGAGGGAGCUGUCGAAGGUGGGACUGGCGAUUGGGACGAAGUCGUAACAAGUAGC
rnacentral:rRNA from 1 species